CCUUCGAUAGCUCAGUUGGUAGAGCGGAGGACUGUAGGAGUAUUCGACCUGGAAAUCCUUAGGUCGCUGGUUCGAAUCCGGCUCGAAGGA
rnacentral:tRNA from 1 species